UAGCACCUAGGACAAGUUCUCAGCUGCUGCUGCUGUUGCUGCUGGUCCAGGACCACAUUUGGGAACCACCAGCCCAACCCUUGGCACCUCCCUGUAAUUUCCACUCCCUCUUCCCUAACUCUGAUUCCCAAAAGGACUGAGCAAGUCUAAUUCCUUUUCCAAGACAAAGAACUUCAAAUAUGGGAGUUCAAACCUGCAGCUUCCCAAUGCAAUGUAAGCACAAAGAAUGGACUCACAUAAGGACUGAUGUGAUGAAUAUUUUCAACAAAGAAUUCUCUUACUGAGUGGAAGAAAAGUAUGGAAGUCAGCGAACAGAUAGGAGAUGAAAGAGCAAAACCAGCAUCUCAUAGGAGAUGUCCUCCAGACAUCCUGAGAGUAAUUUACCUCAACACUCUACAGCUGGAAAAGAGCAAAAGAGAAGUUGUACACAGAGCCUGGGGUGGCCUUGGUGCUUCUCCAACCUGGUGCUUCAGUUUAAGGAAGAAGAAAUUAAAAGGCUUUCAGAUGAACAACUGUAAAAGCAAUUCAUUUUUGUCCUAAAGCGUUAGUAGGGCUUGGGGAAAGUUGAAUGGAAAAACUUCCUUUUCAGAGCUCUUCCCAGGCUCAGGAACAAGUUAUGCCAAAGCCAUCACAGGCGAGUGCCUCAGCAAAGAUAAAAAACAGAAUAAACUAUUGCUAUAAUUACAACUAA